GCCGCUGCCGCCUCCUCGCCGUUGUCGGAAGGUGGGGGAGGGUCGGCCGGGGCCGGCGACCCCAAUCGACUGGCGGCGAGGGUUGAGCACUCAGCCGCUGGCUGCCUCCCUCUUCCUCCUCCUUCCCCUCUCAUUUUAAUUAAUUAAUUAAUUAAUUUUUUAAAAUUAAAUUAAAUUAAUUAUUAUAUUAAAAUUUGAAUUAUACUAAACAACGUCGUUUUGACACUACUUAGCCACAUCAACAUACAAAAUGACGUCGUUUUGCGCGUAACUUGCCGGAAAAUUGCCACGUUAGCAUUUUGGCUAGAUUUUUUCGCCAGUGAUACUUAAGUAUCACUUUCGUAACUUUUGGUAUUUUAGUGUCACUUUCGUAACUUUUGGCCAUUAAGUAUUCAUUUGUGUCAACUUUUGGCACUUCCGAGGUUCGAGUGUCCAUAGACGAUCAUCUCAGCGUCAUCACUUUUUUUUAUUUAUUAUUGUCACGUGGAGAGUCUAAUUAUCGAAAUAAGUCCUCCUCAUCUCAACCCAAGGUGAAUCGGGAGCGCAAGUGCUAAUCUAUCCUCACAUUGAAUAAAGAAACACAUAUAGCUUUCUAGAGAAAAAAAUUAUAUUCUCUAUAUUUUAUAAAUAGUUUGUUUUUCAAUGCUUUUGAGUAUAUAUAUAUAUACAAAGAAGAGAAUCAAUUUAAAAAAUCCUUAUAAUUAGAAGACAAAAUAAAAAGUAAAUUGAAUUGGAUUCCUAUAUUAUCUCUAAUUGACAGCUCAUGCCAAUACUCCCUCUCAAGUGAGUGAAAAGAUAACUUUGAUAUUCAACUUGACAAGUGAGCUGUGAAAGGCUCUGCUUGACACAGCCUUAGUAACUAUGUUUGCCAAUUGAUCUUUAAAUUUUAACAAAGGAAACCAAACCACCUUAGCCUCUAAAUUUUUCUUAACAAAAUGUCUAUCAACCUCAAUGUGCUUGGUUAGAUCAUGCUGAAUUGGAUUGUGGGAAAUAUUAAUUGAUGCUUUAUUAUCAUAGAACGAUCUCAUCUUAGACUUCGAUGGGAAACCAAGUUCCGUUAUUAACCUCUUAAGUUAUAGUAGCUCACACAACCCUUUAGCCAUUCCUUGAAAUUCCGCCUCAGAUGCUACUACCUUCUGUUUUUGCUCAUCCAUGUAACCAAGUUUCCUCGCACAAAUGUGAAAUACUCUGACGUAGACCUCCUAUUUGAUAUGCUACCUACCUAGUUCGUAUCUGUAAAUCCCUUCAUCUCAAGAUGACCAUUUUUCACAAAGAACACACCUUUUCUUGGAGCCAACUUCAAGUAGCGCAAAAUUCAACUCACCACAUUCAUAUGAUCUUUACUUGGGGCAGGCAUAAAUUGACUCAUGAUGCUUACAGCAUAUGUGACAAAUAGAUUAGUCUCCCUAUUGACCUUUGAUAUCUAUCCUUAUUGGCCAGCACCUAAUCUAGAUACUCUCUAAGUCCAUAAUUUUGAACUAUAGGGAUGUCGGCAAGCUUACACUUCAACAUUCCAACUUCGGCUAACAAGUCCAACACAUAUUUUCUUUGAGAUAAUAAAACACCUCCUCUCAAUCUAGCCACUUCAAUGCCUAAGAAAUACUUUAACCCGCCUAGAUUUUUUGUCUCAAACUCUUAUGCUAUCUUCUCUUGGAUUUUUGAAUUAUCUUCACAAUCAUCUCUUGUGAUAAUCAUAUUAUCCACACAUAUGAUUAAGGCCCUUACCUUUCCUUGACGUCACUUCAAGAACAACGUAUGAUAUGAGUUGCUUUGAGAAUACCCAUAUCUUCUCAUUGUUGAGUUGAAGCGACCAAACAAAGUACGGGGUGAUUGCUUUGACCCAUAUGAUGAACGUUCUUGCUUGCACACUACGUUGGGCUGAGUGGCACAACAAUACCUAGGUGGAAUUUCCAUAAAGAUUUCUUCCUCCAGAUCCCCAUGAAGAAACACAUUCUUCACAUUAAACUGAUGCAAUGGCUAGUCUAGAUUUGCUACAAAAGACAACAAAACUCUCACAAUAUUAUGCUUCACCAUGGGGGAAUACAUUUCUUGGUAGUCUACACCAUAAGUUUAUGUAUAUCCCUUUACUAUCAGUCGCGCAUUCUAUCUCCCAAUAGAGUCAUCUGCUUUGUAUUUGAUAGUAAAACCGGGAAAAUGUUUCUUGCUAGUCUACACUAUAAGUCUGUGUAUAUCCCUUUGCUACUAGCCACGCCUUGUAUCUCUCAAUGGAGCCAUCGGUUUUGUAUUUGAUAGUAUAAACCCAUUUGCACCCCAGUGAUUUCUUCCCUUUUGGUAACUUUACAAGUCUCAAAGUCUUGUUUUUUCUAUAAUGUUUCCAUCUCCUCUUUCAUUGCUUGAACAUACUUAGGAUUCCUCAAAGCCUCUUGCACCUCAAUAGGAACUCGGGUUGUAGAAACAUUUGAUACGAAUGUUAUCUCCCUAUUGAAACAUAAUUUGCAAUAAGGUACUUAGAUUUCCGUUCCUCCACGUUUGGUGAGUACCGACCAGAAGUUUUGCCAUGAUUGUGCCUGUCAAGUAAUUUAUAUCCAAUAACCACAUCAGAAUCAUCACAAGAGUCAAGUGAGGUAGGAGAUCUUACCUCAGGAGUAUCCUUAGGAGAAUGGUUACGUACUAAAGAGGGGAUAAUUUCAAAAGAGGGCAGUUCUUGAGGCUGUUCAUGUGCACCAUGUAGCGAUACAAAUUGCUUAUCAUCUUUUGUCAGGACGUGACUAUUCUUUUGCGCAACUCCUACCGUCAGCCCUCUCACGAUCUAAUCCACUACAUUUUAUAUUGAUGGUAUCACUGGUGGGGCCUUUUAUUAGUCGGACCAAGUCCUAGUCCCUACCAAAAUACCACCCUCCCACCAAAUUUUCUUUUCUCGAUGUAUCUCCUCCUGAAAAGGAUAAUUAAUGUCAGGGUAGAAGAAUUCAGACUCAACAAAUGUUACAUCCACAGUAACAUGUGUCUUCUUUGUGAUCGGGUUGUAGCAAUGAUAGCCCUUCUGAUAGGUUCUAUAGCCAAUAAAAACACACCGCAUAGCACAAGGAUCAAGUUUGAUUCGUUGGUUCUUGUGAAGAUAAACAUAAGCUACAAACCCAAACGCUUUAGGAGGAAGUGUCAAAAUUGAGAGAAGAGAAACAUGUUCUGAAAGAACUUGUGGCGUGGUCUGAAAUUUUGGCAUGUAGGAGGGCAUCUGAUUCAUCAAGUUGAUUGCAAUAACAACGGUAGCAUCCAAAAAACGAUUAAGAAUAUGACCCACCAAGAGAGCCCUUGUUGUCUCAAUAAUAUGAUGGUCCUUUCUUUUUGCAACGUCAUUCAACUAGGGUGUCUAGGUGCAUGACGUCUCAUAGAUAAGGCCAUGUUCUUGAAAGUAAGCUAUGAGAUAUUGAUUAACAUAUUCGACCCCAUUAUUAGUACGAAGGACGCAGAUUUGAGCCCCAAAUUGUGUUGCAACUAUAUGGUAGAACACACGAAAUAUUUAAAGACCUCAUCCCUAUGUCAUCCGUAUACAGUUAUCCCCAAAAGUCACAAACCAACGAAUUCCCAAAAUGGUCACAUUGGAGUGGACUAAUGAAAAAGGCAUUGCACUUUUACCUAAACUCAGUGGAAAUGAAACACAAUGACUCUUUGCCAAGAUGCAUGUUUCACACUGAAAUACAAAAUCUGAUAAACUAUUGAACAACCUAGGAAAUAAGUGCUUCAGAUAUCCUAAAGAUCGAGUGUUGUAAUCGACAAUGCUAUAGUUGGAUGUCUUUCUUUUUACCACUAGAUUGACCAUCGGUGUGAUUCACUUUGCUAGUGUUAAAAUUAUCCAUGCAAUACAUCCCUGCCCUCUUAGUACCUCGUCCAAUAAUCUCCUUCGUGAGAAUAUCCUAAAAUAAACAAAAAUUGUGAUACAUAAGAACACUGUAAUUUAAUUCAUCAGUAAUUUGCUCAAUAGGUAGCAACCAGUUAGAUAAAGAGGGUAUGAGCAAAAUGUACAAUAAGGAGAGGGAAGGUGUAAGAACAACUCUUCCAUCCCCAAUCACUAGAUAGCUAUGGCCAUUUGCAUUAUAGAUACUUUGUCAACGCAGAGUGGUAUGGCACGUGAAGUCACCAAGAUUAGGUGUCAUGUGAUUAGUAGUGCCAGAAUCAACAAUCCACCCAUUAUCCUCACCCUAAUGAGUACUGAAAAAAACACGAUUGUUUUUACCUUCAAAAACCGAUACAGAAGUAUUGGUGGAGUCUACCUAGGGAACCAAGGAGAGAGGUGAGUCCCCAAUUGCCAACGACACUUGUCCUUGACCCCUACUUGUCGUAGUCUCAAUCUUUUUCUUGGCUUGAAAAUCUUUCCACUAAUCGAAGUACCCAUGUGACUUUAACCGGUCUCCUUGGUAUGCUUAAGAUCCCACAAUGGGUGCAUCCCUUUGCUAGUUGUGGCUUGUGCUUCGAACCUGCAUUAGACUUGUCCCCUCCUAUCAUAGCACUUGUGAAGGCCAUCUAUAGAGGCUAUGAUUUUGGCUGCCGUCAAGAAACCGCGAACGUAUCUUCCCCCCACGUGACACCAUUACAACAGCAGCGGGAGAGUCCAUAUUAGUCAACAUUAGAUGCACGUACUCCCACUGAACCCGUGCGUAAGCUUGUUCAAUAGCAAGAAGUGGUUGCAUCUAUAAGACAUCUGCCCUGACCUUGUCAAUUCCAUCAUCAAGACCAUCAAGGAAUGUGUAGACACAAUCUUCUUGGAUAGCCAUAUUUUAGCACCCGAUAUCAUUGGGACGCACCAUGGGGUUAAGACGCUGAAAAUCAAUUUCCCGCACAAAGUCCUUGAAGAUCAUUGUAGUAUUUGUUGAUAGGACCUCCAACCUACUUCAGCCGAGUAACUUGGUGCUUCAAAUCAUGUACUUGGGAGACAAUGUUGCCGUCAAAAAACGUGAUAGCCAUUGAAUCCCAAACUGCUUUUGCGUUUGGGAAUCGAAUUAAAUUGCCAAUCAACGCCUUGUCCCUGGAGUUGAUUAUCCAUCCUAUCACUAUGGACUCCUCGAUUUUCCACUUCCAAAAGCUAGGAUCAGUCGAAUGAGGUUGGAGAAGAUCUCCAUUAAUAUAUCCCAACUUGUCUUUGCCUGAGAUGUACAUCUCAACAACUUGGGACCAAAGGCCAUAGUUGUUGCCAUCCAACUUGAUAGCAAUAGGUGGAGCCAAUGCCUUAGCUUAGGAACAGUGCAUGAUGUUGGGUUAUAAGUUGCUUCAUCGCUAUUAUCAGAUCUUCAAGGAUCACCUUGGUUGAAGAGCCCUCAGCGGUUGAUUGUAAAUCACUGCGUUCAGCUAUGAUGAGAUCAAGUCUUAGGGUCUAGUUGCUCUGAUACCAUGAAAAAAUGCAUAUAGCUUUUUGGAAAAAAUUCUUAUAUUAUCUAUAUUUUGUACAUCAUUUGUUAUAUAAUACUUCUGAGUGUAUAUACACAUACACACACAAAGAAGAAAGUUAAUUCUAAUAAUCCUCCUAAUUAUGAGACAAAAUAGGAACUAGAUUGACUCGGAUUCUUAUAUUAUCUAUAAUUGACAGUUCAUGUUAACACCGAAUUCAUGAUUUUUCUAACAUGCAGCGUUAAUUUUGACUCUCAUUUUAGUUGUUUCUUUUUUGUCCGUUCGUGCUAAGUUAACCAUCCCGAUGGACAGUGAGAACAUGAAAGUUUUAUCAUUUCGGUCGAGGAAAGGAGAAGGUCUUCUGUCACUAAAAGAGAACUUUGAUUUGAUAUCUAGAUUAAAAAAAAUAAAAGUACAAAGGAUUCGGCAUAUUGCAUAAUGACAAAGUCAACCAACGAAGGGAGGCCUCCGCUGGUAUUUGAAUAUUCGUCCAUAAUUGAUUGUCGAAAGGGACAGCCAUCAUGUUAGAAUAGAAUAAAGUCGUCUCGCUCGCACUCACAUUAAUGGAUCUGAACAUCGAAUUUUUUUCUUUCCCUCCGUGUCAAACUCGAAUGUCCAACUUCUGGGACAAUAUAUAUACACGCAUAUAUAUUUGCUAUAGCUACGAAAUCAAUCACUUAAAUUAACCAAACACGACAUCAUUACGGUGAUCAGUUGAGUGGCUCAAGAUUUGAUUCGUAUACCGAAGAUAAUAGGUUCCAUCCUUCAAUUUACUCUCAGUCUCAAGAAACCUUGGUUGGCUUGCGAGGAGGGGUAUGGAUUUAGAUGUAUCAUUGGUCUUGGACUCUCGCUCUCACCAUGGUGGGGUAAAGAUCACAAGCUCUUUUAAUGGACAGUGAUGGGUAAAAUUUUACGAAGCCUUGAAUUCCAUGCCUAAAAAAAUAUGUAUUCUCCAUCUAAUUGACUUGCUUGGUAAGCUUCAAUGAGCUUCAUUUCUUCAGUCCAACCCUCAUGAUUAGCUUUGCACAUCAUUGCCUUCAAUCACGUAGCUUUCUAAUCCCUCCCGCAUUAAAAAUGCUAAUGCCACGUCACCAUACCAAAUGGAAGUAAUAAUAGAAUUUAUAUCCAUUAACACGUGAAAACUAUCUUCCGCCCACGGAAUGUAGAUAGAGAGAAAUUAUUAAAUAUUAAGGUUCGUUUGUUUUGUUAAAAAAUAAAUAAUUAAAAAAUACAUAUCUUCUUAAAAAAUGCUUAAUUUAUUGAUUGAAAGAAUUAGCUAAUAAAAAUAUUUAUAUUAUCAAUAAGUCAUAUCUAAACAUUUAAUGUAGCUCAAGUUCAAGAAUUGCAGCAGCAGUCCCGUCAUCACCUCUGGCAUCGCCCUGUAGAUCUUGUUAUUAGGGGUGUGCAACCAGACCGGGUAUACCCGGUUUCCAAACUAGCCCACCUAGAAAAUAGAGUCAGGAAUUGGUUUUCGUUGAAACCGGUCCGGGAACCGGUUCCCAAAAUUCGGAACCGGUUUAAACUAGUUCAGGAACAGGUUCUGAGUGAUUACCCACCUGAAAACUAGUUCCUAGAUUGGUUCCCGAACUGGUUUUGUAAGUAGAGGUUCAAAACCAUUUUCCCCCAAUUUCUAUUAUUACUCCUGCAAUCACACUGUGACAUCCCGAUUUUCUCAAUUUUUAUUUUCAGUCAAUUGAGACGGGCAAUUCAUCUGUGCAUGUAGUUCGCCUCUCAGAGUUGGCCACUCACGAGGGAACUAGUCUAUUGAGUGAAGUAAUUAAGGAAUUUUGCCGUGUCAGACUUGGGGACUGAUCACCCUCGGGUCGGAUGCAAGAAAAUUCCCCAAAAGCUACUCGGUGGAUUAGGCGCGCUGAAAUCGCACCGGAUUGAAUUCAACCGUAAAAAUUGGGAUUGAAUUUAGAAGUUGGAAGCCGGUCAUGUCACAUAUCUUAUUAGGAGCAUAGGAUAAUUUUUAUGGAUUUUUAAUUUGGACUCAAUUAGAAGGGAAUUGAUGGACAUUGAAGUAAUUGAAUGUACAAGAACUUGGACCCCGGCGGAAAAUGAAAGUGAACUUAUUGGAAGAUGUUAUGGAGGAUUUGAAUUAGUGGAGAAUGACAUCAGCAGGUGAUGUCAUGGUGGAGGCCAAAUUCAAGGAGAGCUUGACAAGUGUCACAAGCCAAUUGGCUCACCAAAAGUGGGGAUGUCACUUCCCUCUUGUCUCCAUCAUCUUCAAGCUUGAGAGGAGAGAGAUUGGGAGGGAGACCGAAGGAGAGAACCAGCGGAAACCGCCCCCCUUCCGUCCGCCUUCGCCGCUCGACCGUUGCCACCGCUCGCCUUCGUCGUCGCCUUCGCUGUCGCACGCCGUCGCCGCUCGUCCGCGUGUGAAGCCUCGCGCGCACUCGUCGUGUCCCCGUCACACCGUUGUCUCUUCGUCCGCUGCUGGUCACCGUCCGCCGAAGCUCCCGUCGCCGCCGAUCGUCCGCUCAAGCCUCCGCCGGUCGUUGCACGAGCUGUCGCCGGUUCUCCUCCGCCGUUCCUCCACCCGUUCAGCCGCCGUUCCGUCGCCUUUCAAGCCCGGUUUGUCGUCGGCGUCGUCGUGCUCUUCGCCGGAGAUUCGUCGGAAAGCGAUUCCGGUGAGUUUACCUCACUAAUCCGCGAUUAGCGAGUUAAUGAUGCCUUAAGUAUGUUUAGUUUAAGUUGAUUGAGAUUAGGUGGAUAAAUUGGCUUAAUUAGUUAUGGAUUAUAUUAAGGUGAUUAAUUAAGGUAAAGUGUGUUUAGUUUAAUGGUUAAGUAUGUUUAUUUUUAAAAUAAACCUUGAUGUGACUUAAAGGAGUUUAUUUAUGAUUUAAAUAAAUGCUUCGAAAUUGUUGGAUUAUUUAAUAAUAUAUCUUAUUCCGAAAUUCAUUAAAAUACUAUUUAUAAAAAAAAAAAAAAAACUUGAAAAAAUUAUUUUGACCCUAGUUGCUCAGAAUUUCGUGUCGAUCGUUGCUGUGCUUGUGGAAUUUGAAAUUGAUGAUUGGUUGUGACGAUUUGAGUGUGAUUGCGAUUUAUGAGAACUCUUUAGAAAACCCUAAGUGUGGAAAUUGAUGGGAGAUAGGCCGUGAUGAACCACCUAGGAGAGGUCGUGCCCAGCGAGGCCGUGAUUGACCACCUAUUAGAGGUCGUGCCCAGUGAGGCCGUGAUGUACCACCUAUGAGAGGUCGUGCCCAGUGAGGCCGUGAUUGACCAUGACCACCUAUUAGAGGUUAUGCCCAGUGAGGCCGUGAUGGACCACCUAUGAGAGGUCGUGCCUAAUAGGGCCGUGAUGGACCACCUAUGAGAGGUCGUGCCUAAUGAGGCCGUGAACUACCACCUAAUUGCAGGUCGUGUCGAGUGGGGCCGUGAUUGCCACUGGUUAUUAAACCUUCCUAUUGGGUCAAGAUUUGGGAGCAAUAAUUGAUUUACUAGAAUGACAUGUAAUCGGCCGAGUCGAUUGAUCGCUGAGACGAUCCCCGUGAUUGAGCUGUUCUGAUGAUGUGAUUGUACUUCCGUUGUUGAGUUAUUAGAAUUGCACGUGGUUGAAUUAUAUAAAUUGUGCUAACCUGCAGAUGAGGGCUAAGCCGAGGUAAGUCUUCUUGAUGUCGUGGCUAAGCUGCUUUGGGGCGUAUUUACUUUCUAAUAGGGGUUUAGGAGGGGUGAACUUGCUGAGACAAAGUCUCAUCCCGGUUUUGGGAAAAAUAUUUCAGGACCGUAGAUGGCGAGACCCCCGGAGAUGAGUGGCCUGUCGACGAAGAUUGACCAGACGACAGAGAGUGCUCCUGACCCUGGGAGUCCUUGGGUCUAUCAGUUGGUUAGGACCCUCAUCUGGGUCGAGGUGAACGUGCAUAACAGGGUACCGUACAUGUUUAGGGCUUGGUUUCGUUCCGGAGUCGAUGGCGUUAGGGUUGGCCCUCUGGAUAGCAUGGAUAUUCCGCUGGCUGUGAUGAAUGCCAUUUUGGGUGAAGGUGUGGCGGAUCUUCCUGACGGUGGAGUGAUCAACGCUUCGCCCCCGGCCUCCUGGGUGACUGAUCCUGAGGAUGUAGGGUCGACGAAUGGGGACGACCAAUAGUCCUAGGAUCGUGCCCUUUUCUUUUUUUGGGCGGACUGAUUCGUGUUGUGUAGGCUAACCCUCUUUUGAUGCACAUAGACUCUGACCCAUUUUUGGUGCAUAGGCCCUGGAUCCGGUUGAUGUAUGUAAGCCCUAGAUUGUUGAUGAUAUAUGAAAGUAUGUUGUUUGAUUUUGAGUUGAUGUUCCUGCUGUCCUAUCCCGUAUGCUUUUGUAAGGGGUUUCUUAGUACGUUCCGCUUGCGCAUUAAUAAAUAAUAAAAAUUGGGGUCGGCGACACUACCUGGGAAUGUCGCAUUUGCAUGACCAUGGCGGGUUGUUCACGGGUCUCGGGGUUCGGGGCGUGACAACCCCGUUUAAGUGGUAUCAGAGCGAGGUUUGUGUAUGGAGUGAUAAGGGCGAUGAGUCACGGGAUAGUUAGUAGGAAUAACUUUUCAUAUUCUAAUGCAUGUGAUUGUUAGUUGUUUGUUAGCUUGGUUGAAAGGUUACUCAAAUUCUAAUAUGGCAUUGGAAUUCGCCAAUAGGCAUCUAUAUUGAGCCUGUAGCAUGAGUGACCGAGUGCCAAGAGCUACUAGGAAGAGAGCAGUAGGCCCCGUGUUUCGGGGUGGGCCGUCGGUGAGAGUCGGUGCCCGAGGUGCCUUGGGAAGAGCGCAGGCUGAGGCCAGUGUGAGUGGUGCAGCGUCACCUCCAGAGGAUGCAGUGGCCCCUGAGGAUCCGAGGUUUGCUGGGAUCAUGCAGAUGCUUGAGAUGAUGGGUGACAGACUAGACCAGCAGGCCGCCGCUUCAGCCGCCGCUAUCACCGCGGCCACCAAUGCUGCUAAUGUCGACAAUGCUGCUGUUGCCGCUAAUGCCGUCGCUGCUACUGCCGCCGCACCGGUUGCCGAGCCAGAAGAGGAACUUGAGGAAAUUCCACUUGAGGAUGUGGUCGCUGGGAGGCCUAGGCAGAAGUUGGUGCAGCACUUUCUGAGAUUGAACCCACCAACGUUCACGGGAGCGGGAGAUCCCGAAGCUGCAGCGCUAUGGGUUCAAGAACUAGAGAAUGCCUUUGAGCUAUUGUUGUGCACUGAAGGAGAGAAGGUCGUGCUAGCAGCCUAUCAGUUGAGGGGGACCGCAGCCACAUGGUGGAAGACUAAUAAAGGGAUAGUGUUCCCUGAUGGUGUAGCUCGAGAGUGGAAUGCAUUUCUAGAAGUCUUCAAUGAGAAAUACUUUUCUGAUUGUGCUAAAGAGUUGAAGAUGGCGGAGUUCCAACACCUUCGUCAAGGUACAAUGACAGUUGAUCAGUAUGAAGCGAAGUUUGCUGAACUGUCGCAGUAUGCCCCUGAAUUAGUCCAGAAACCGACAGACCGAAUUCGAAGGUUUAGAGAUGGGCUUAGAUCGGAGGUGAGGAGCUUUUUGGUUCCGUUAGAUCUGAAGGAGUACAAGGAUCUUUACAAGCGGGCCCAGCUGAUUGAGAAGGACCAGAAUGAGAAAGCUGCCGCAUCUGGGUCGCGGUUUAACUCAAGCAGAGGUGAUAAUCGGUUUGGGAAGAGGCCGAUGCCUGGGGGAAGGUACCAUGUUCCACCCACCAGGAAGGGUGGAGUGGGGAAGCCGUCAUCGAGCUUCAAUGGAGCAUGUCGUUUGUGUGGAAGGCGACAUGGCUCAGCCCCGUGCCCUCCUAGGACGGGUGCUUGCUAUGAGUGUGGCCAGCAGGGUCACAUUGCUAGGGUUUGUCUUAGGAGACAAAUGAGACAGCCUCAGUUGCCGCCGCUGCCACCGCUGGGCCAAAAUAGAGGAUUCGCACCGCAGAUCAUGCCGCCGGGUGGAAUGAACCGACCUCCAGCUCAGGGAAGGACUUAUGCGCUGACCAGAGGACAGGCGGAGGAUGCGCCUAACGUGGUCAUAGGUAUGGUCUUGCUGAACGACCAACCUGCUUAUGCUUUGUUUGAUCCUGGAGCUUCGCAUUCAUUUAUAGCUGAAAGAUUUGUUAAAUUGGUAGAAUUAAUUUCUAAAUUGUUGGAGUCUGUGAUUAGUAUAUCUACCCCGUUGAAAGAUAAAGUGUUAGCUACGGUAGGUUGCCUUGGUUGCAAGUUAGUGAUUGGUGAGCGAGAGGGGAGGAUAGACCUGAUAGUCCUAGCCAUGUAUGAUUUUGAUGUGAUAAUUGGCAUGGACUGGCUUACCAAGCAUCGAGCUAAAAUGGACUGUUAUCGCAAGGCGAUUCAGUUUAACUCGUUAGGGGGUGAGAGCUUCGAAUUUAUUGGGAGUCGAGGAGGGCCCUCGGUUUCCUUAAUCUCAUCGCUCGAAGCAACCCGCUUGUUAGGCAAGGGUUGCCAAGGUUAGCUAGCAACUGUCGUAGACACGACAGUAGAGGAGUUAAAGAUUGAAGAUAUCGCAGUGGUACGAGAGUUCCCAGAUGUGUUUCCAAAAGAAUUACUGGGUUUAUCGCCAGAGAGAGAGAUAGAGUUUGUGAUCGAAUUAGCCCCCGGGACAGAGCCGAUCUCUAAAGCUCCUUACCGAAUGGCCUUGUCAGAGCUUAAGGAACUAAAGGUGCAAAUGCAAGAGUUGUUGGAUAAAGGAUUUAUACGUCCAAGUGCAUCACCUUGGGGAGCACCGGUAUUGUUUGUGAAGAAGAAAGAUGGUUCAUUACGCUUGUGCAUCGAUUACCGACAGCUCAACCAGGUGACAAUUAAGAACAAGUAUCUGUUGCCAAGGAUUGAUGAUUUCUUUGAUCAGCUUCAAGGAGCGUCGAUAUUUUCUAAGAUCGACUUGAGGACGGGGUAUCAUCAGCUAAGAAUCAAGAAGGAAGAUAUCCCGAAGUCGGCGUUUCGCACUCGAUAUGGCCAUUAUGAGUUUACUGUGAUGCCGUUUGGGUUGACAAACGCCCCGGCUGCUUUCAUGGAUCUGAUGAAUCAGGUGUUCAAAGAGUACUUAGAUCAGUUUGUAAUUGUUUUCAUCGACGACAUCCUGGUGUAUUCAAGGAGUACUGAGGAUCAUGAAAAGCACUUGAGGAUAGUGCUUCAGACCUUAAGAGAUCACGAGCUGUACGCCAAGUUUAGUAAGUGCGAGUUUUGGCUGACUCGUGUAGCUUCCUAGGUCAUGUCAUCUCUGGNNNNNNNNNNNNNNNNNNNNNNNNNNNNNNNNNNNNNNNNNNNNNNNNNNNNNNNNNNNNNNNNNNNNNNNNNNNNNNNNNNNNNNNNNNNNNNNNNNNNAAAGAAUGAGGCAGUGAUCACUGGCCGAGACCGACGAUAGUGACAGAAAUUAGAAUUUUUCUGGGUUUAGCAGGGUAUUACAGACGGUUUGUAGAAGGGUUUUCAAGGUUAGUGUUGACACCUAAAUUUUACUAUUUUACUUAAAACUUAAUUGUGUACAAGAUUAGGAAUUAGCCACUAAAAAAAAAAACACAACAACAAAACAAAAGAAAAUACAAAAAAAUUAAGUAAUUUAAAAAAAAAAAAACGAAAACGAGAGACUCCAUUCUCUCUUUCUUUUUCCCCCACGCGCAGGCCCUUGUGCGGCCCAUCUUCUUUUCUCCCUCGCGUGGCCCACGCACGGCCCAUCUUCCUCUUCUUUCUCCUCGGCUCGGCUCGGCUCAUGCCCAGCUUUCUUCCCCCCUCUUGCUGGUCUUCGCUGAAAAAGACUUGCAAGAAGAGAAAAAAAACAGAGUAGCAGAAGUUGCAGCAGCAUAGCGAGAGCAAGAAGAUCAAGGUUCGGCGCGAUCCGCGGGUCGGGGAAGUAGACCGAUCGACCAGCUGGCACGGCAGGAGGUCUUCGCUCGGAAUACCUGCAGGAAAAAAAAGGGACCCAGCACAGAGAACUCGAGAGAGAGGGAGAGGGGGAACGGAGGGAGAGACCGGAGGAGAGAGGGAAAGGGAGCUCGAGGGAGGAGCAACCAGAAAGAAAAAAAGAAGAAGGGGAAAACCGAAAGGAAGGGCGGCGACGGCGGCACCGCCGCCGCUGCCGCUACCGCUCCCACUCGACCGGUGCCUGACACCCGCGUCGUCGCCGCCGCCCUCCUACCCGUCGUCGUCCAAGCCUCCUCUGAGCGAAGCUGUCUUCUACUCCCUGCCUGCUGCUCUGCCCGUGCCUCUCGGACCAGCGACCCGACGCCGCUGCUCGCCCUCCUCGCCGCUUCAACCUGACGCCGUUCGAGCCGAGCCGCCGCCCUCUAUCUUCCGUUCGAACCAAGCCGCCGCCGUUGCCGCUGCUCCCGACGCCGAACCAGCCGGAGACGAACCAGAUCUGGGAGUUGAUCGAACUCCGCUGCACCACCAGGCCGACCGCCGCCGCCGUCCUGCUCUAGUCGCCGUCCGAACCCCCUCGCUGCAGCCGGUGCCGUCGCUCACCCAUCACCGCCCUCAACCCGACGCCGUCCGAGCUGCCUCGCCAGUCACCGCCGAGCGAGCCCCACACCGGCCCUCGCCACCGCCGCCACUCCUGGCCGCGUCUCCGCCAGUCACCGCCGUGCCGACGCCGCCGCCCGUCGUACCGCCGCUGUUGCCGUCCAAAUCACCUUCGCCGCCGCCGCCGCCGCUGCCAACGCCGCCAGGAAACCCUAGGGUUUCGGCCAAAAGGAACGGGUCGGACACGGGUCGCGAACCGGGUAGGGUUUUUGAGCUAUUUGGGUCGGUUUUUAGGCUUUUUGGGCUUUUAGGAAUUUUUUGGAUUUGUGGGUUUGGGCUAACUUAGGUAGUGGGCUUCUUUUUUUAAAUAGAAAGUAUUAGACCAGAUUGGGCCCGCUGAUUGGGCCCAAUCCGAGCCAAGGCAAAGCCCGACCAAGUCGGGCCAGUUCGGCCCGGCCCCAUUUGGACCGAACUCGGGUCCGGUCUCCGACCGAACCCGAUCCGCGUUGACCGGGUCGGGUCGAAUCGAACCC
rnacentral:lncRNA from 1 species